rnacentral:tRNA from 1 species
GUCUCGGAUAGCUUAACAGAUAUUUAUAUAUAGAGCCUUUGGCGCGUAACCAAAAGAUCCAGGUUCGAGUCCUGGUCUGGGCC